rnacentral:rRNA from 1 species
GCUGGCGGCAGGCUUAACACAUGCAAGUCGAGCGGUAGCAGAUCUAGCUUGCUAGACGCUGACGAGCGGCGGACGGGUGAGUAACGCGUAGGAACCUGCCCAGUAGUGGGGGAUAGCCCGGGGAAACUCGGAUUAAUACCGCAUACGCUCUACGGAGGAAAGAGGGGCUUCGGCUCUCGCUAUUGGAUGGGCCUGCGUGAGAUUAGCUAGUUGGUGAGGUAAUGGCUCACCAAGGCGACGAUCUCUAGCUGGUCUGAGAGGAUGAUCAGCCACACUGGGACUGAGACACGGCCCAGACUCCUACGGGAGGCAGCAGUGGGGAAUAUUGCACAAUGGGCGCAAGCCUGAUGCAGCCAUGCCGCGUGUGUGAAGAAGGCUUUCGGGUUGUAAAGCACUUUCAGUGGGGAGGAAGGCCUCGUAGUUAAUAGCUGCGAGGAUUGACGUUACCCACAGAAGAAGCACCGGCUAACUCCGUG